CUUAGGAAGAUAUUCGGAACCAAGGCUAAGAGGAACCAAAGGAUUGAAAAUGCAAAAGGAAAAAUACAUCAUACGAGAAAAACGUCUGACCUCUGCCAAAACGACCACAGGUCUGCCCGACCGACUGCCCCGGACCUCUCAACUCUGCAGCAUGCAAUUGCACAUGCGUGAAGCCGAAGAAUAAAGCGAAGACCAACCCAAAACAAUAGCAAGCGUGGGAGGCACGACCGCCACCUGCGCCCUCGAGGGAGCGUCAGCGCAGCCAAACCGGCGACGACCAGCUGACGUGGAAGGAAGGACCA